UACAGAGGUCUCAAGCGUUGUUCGGAUUCAUUGGGCGUAAAGGGCGCGUAGGCUGCGGGGCAAGUCGGGUGUGAAAUCUCAGAGCUCAACUCUGAAACUGCACUCGAUACUGCUUUGCUGGAGGACUGGAGAGGAGAUUGGAAUUCACGGUGUAGCAGUGAAAUGCGUAGAUAUCGUGAGGAAGACCAGUGGCGAAGGCGGGUCUCUGGACAGUUCCUGACGCUGAGGCACGAAGGCCAGGGGAGCAAACGGG
rnacentral:rRNA from 1 species